UUCACUUUACUUGGUUACAUUUGAACAUGAUAUGUGGGUAGAGUAGAAUGGUACAGGUUGCAUAAUAACAAGCAGACAAUGUAUAACAUAUGGUACUGGGAAUAUAGAUUAACAAUUGAGAUGCUAGCUAAUAUUACAGAGAAUUAAAAGACUAAAAAAUAAAUUACAGGACUCCAUCUAGGACAUUCCAUUUUCUGUGGUUGAAUAUUUAUUCUGAAU